AUUGAACGCUGGCGGCAGGCCUAACACAUGCAAGUCGAGCGAGCGGCGGACGGGUGAGUAAUGUCUGGGGAACUGCCCGAUAGAGGGGGAUAACUACUGGAAACGGUGGCUAAUACCGCAUACCAGCGGAUGAGCCCAUAUGGGAUUAGCUAGGAGGUGGGGUAAUGGCUCACCUAGGCGACGAUCUCUAGCUGGUCUGAGAGGAUGAUCAGCCACACGGGGACUGAGACACGGCCCAGACUCCUACGUGAGGCAGCAGUGGGGAAUAUUGCACAAUGGGCGCAAGCCUGAUGCAGCCAUGCCGCGUGUAUGAAGAAGGCCUUAGGGUUGUAAAGUACUUUCAGCGAGGAGGCGUUACCCGCAGAAGAAGCACCGGCUAACUCCGUGCCAGCAGCCGCGGUAAUUC
rnacentral:rRNA from 1 species